rnacentral:tRNA from 1 species
GAGAACCUAGUAAACAUAUUACAUGGCCUUGUCGUGGCCAAGUCACAACCUCUGUGGUCCUCA